AGUGAACGCUGGCGGCGUGCUUAACACAUGCAAGUCGAACGAGAACGGAUUAUAGCUUGCUAUAAUUGUCAGCUAAGUGGCGCACGGGUGAGUAAUGUAUAGGUAAUAUGCCUCUUACUAAGGGAUAACAAAUGGAAACGUUUGCUAAUACCUUAUACUCCUUAUUAACAGAAGUUAAUAAGGGAAAGAUUUAUUGGUAAGAGAUUAGCCUGUAUUGUAUCAGUUAGUUGGUGGGGUAAUGGCUUACCAAGACUAUGACACAUAACUGGUUUGAGAGGAUGAUCAGUCACACUGGAACUGAGACACGGUCCAGACUCCUACGGGAGGCAGCAGUGGGGAAUAUUGCACAAUGGACGAAAGUCUGAUGCAGCGACGCCGCGUGGAGGAUGACACAUUUCGGUGCGUAAACUCCUUUUAUAUGAGAAGAUAAUGACGGUAUUAUAUGAAUAAGCCCGGCUAACUCCGUGCCAGCCGCCGCGGUAA
rnacentral:rRNA from 1 species